CAGCAGCCGCGGUAAUACGGAGGGUGCAAGCGUUGUUCGGAAUUAUUGGGCGUAAAGCGCGUGUAGGCGGCUUGGCAAGUCGGUUGUGAGAGCCCGGGGCCCAACCCCGGAAUUGCAUCUGAAACUGCCUCGCUAGAGUCCCGGAGAGGAAGGCAGAAUUCCCGGUGUAGGGGUGAGAUCCGUAGAUAUCGGGAGGAAUACCAGCGGCGAAGGCGGCCUUCUGGACGGUGACUGACGCUGAGACGCGAAAGCGUGGGGAGCAAACAGGAUUAGAUACCCUGGUAGUCCACGCCGUAAACGUUGAGUGCUAGGUGUCGCGGGUAUUGACCCCUGCGGUGCCGUCGUUAACGCAUUUAGCACUCCGCCUGGGGAGUACGGUCGCAAGGCUAAAACUCAAAGGAAUUGACGG
rnacentral:rRNA from 1 species